rnacentral:rRNA from 1 species
UUCCGGUUGAUCCCGCCGGACCUGACUGCUAUCGGAUUGAUACUAAGCCAUGCGAGUCAUUGUAGCAAUACAAGGCAUACGGCUCAGUAACGCGUAGUCAACCUAACCUAUGGACGGGAAUAACCUCGGGAAACUGAGAAUAAUGCCCGAUAGAACAUUAUGCCUGGAAUGGCUUAUGUUCCAAAUGAUUUAUCGCCGUAGGAUGGGACUGCGGCCUAUCAGUUUGUUGGUGAGGUAAUGGCCCACCAAGACUAUUACAGGUACGGGCUCUGAGAGGAGUAGCCCGGAGAUGGGUACUGAGACACGGACCCAGGCCCUAUGGGGCGCAGCAGGCGAGAAAACUUUGCAAUGUGCGAAAGCACGACAAGGUUAAUCCGAGUGAUUUGUGCUAAACGAAUCUUUUGUUAGUCCUAGAAACACUAACGAAUAAGGGGUGGGCAAGUUCUGGUGUCAGCCGCCGCGGUAAAACCAGCACCUCAAGUGGUCAGGAUGAUUAUUGGGCCUAAAGCAUCCGUAGCCGGCUCUGUAAGUUUUCGGUUAAAUCUGUACGCUCAACGUACAGGCUGCCGGGAAUACUGCAGAGCUAGGGAGUGGGAGAAGUAGACGGUACUCGGUAGGAAGUGGUAAAAUGCUUUGAUCUAUCGAUGACCACCUGUGGCGAAGGCGGUCUACUAGAACACGUCCGACGGUGAGGGAUGAAAGCUGGGGGAGCAAACCGGAUUAGAUACCCGGGUAGUCCCAGCUGUAAACUAUGCAAACUCAGUGAUGCAUUGGCUUGUGGCCAAUGCAGUGCUGCAGGGAAGCCGUUAAGUUUGCCGCCUGGGAAGUACGUACGCAAGUAUGAAACUUAAAGGAAUUGGCGGGGGAGCACCACAAGGGGUGAAGCCUGCGGUUCAAUUGGAGUCAACGCCGGG